UACGUAGGGGGCUAGCGUUGUCCGGAUUUAUUGGGCGUAAAGAGCGUGUAGGCGGUCCGGUAAGUCCGCUGUGAAAGUCGGGGGCUCAACCCUCGAAUGCCGGUGGAUACUGUCGGGCUAGAGUGCGGAAGAGGCGAGUGGAAUUCCUGGUGUAGCGGUGAAAUGCGCAGAUAUCAGGAAGAACACCCGUGGCGAAGGCGGUUCUCUGGGACGGUACUGACGCUGAGACGCGAAAGCGUGGGGAGCGAACAGG
rnacentral:rRNA from 1 species